AAGUGGGAGGUCCAUCCCACUUGAUUUGAUACUUGACUUUCAAAAAGAUUUGUAAUCCUUGCUGAUGUUCCCCAAUAAAUCUGCUCUAAGAGAGAGAGAGCGUGAAUAAUGGAAAAUAAAUCCAGGAUAGACAGAUCUGCAAGGACAGUGUCUGUGCGGCUGCCUGACUCUGUCAAACUCUUUAGGUUUGGAGGAAAAACAAACUGAGCUGAAUUUCUGUUUCCUCCAGUAGCUGAGGCAUUGCAGCCUUCAGCCCUGUAGGACUUUAUCUUUCUGAAUCCUCACAACUAGUUGCUUUAGGGCCGUUAAAGACAGCCAGGAAGUGAGGUAGCUGAGAUUGAGUUUUAUUGACUUAAAUGAAAUGUUCAUGACUGAUUGGUAUUGAAAUCUGUUGUUAAAAGCAGACAGACUGUUGUUAAUGAUGAGUGUAAAUUAGGAGCCAGAGGAGUCAAUGACAGUUUGAAUAUAUUACCUAAAUGUGCAAAAGGUCAUUAUGUUAGAAAAUCUGAUUUAAAUUUAGGCUUCUUUAAUGAUUCAUAGUACAGGAUGAACUCCUCUCAUUUAUUCAGAGCUGGUUUCACUGUACUGAGGGGAGCUCAGACAGUCAGAGGGUGGAUGAGAACAGUGGGGACGUUCCUCCUUUCUAUUUUUAUUAAUACUGCCAUUAUCUGAUGCCACAUUGACCACCAGGCUUUUCUACAGCCGAUUUAAAGUUGCACACCAGCCCUUUUAAAACUCAUUCAAAGACUUGUUCUGCAGUGUUUCAACCAGGAGUACAGGUCGCCUGAUUAAACCAUCCCUCCGUGACCACAGAGCCCGUUUCAGCCAGCAGACAUUUAUCUCACUUUUGCAAAAAGAAGAUGGCUGGAGGUGAUAGCGGAGUGAAAUGAUAUGCAGUACAUUCUCACAGGGAAUGAAGGCCCUGCAAUGCUUGACUUACCAACAGAAUCAUUCCCAUUUAAAAUAUCACGGCAGGCCUGUAAAGUGUGACGAUCUACCAAAAUUGUGAUUGAUAAAAUCUCUGGUGUGUAAAGGGAGAAAUGUGAAAAAUAUUGCAUCAUAAAUACAUUAGGAUUCAGAGUAUGUAAGCUGUAGAGGGCUGCUCAUCUCAGCUAUCGUUGGUUCACGUCCAAAUGUAUUCAAAAACAGGGGUCAUUAUGAGUCGCUCAUGGCUAUGUUAAUCAUAUUUCUUUCAGUGUCGGUGAUCCAGCUCUGUGGCUUCUUUCUAGACAAACACACACACGGCUCCAGCGAUCAUUAUCAGUGUGGCUUUAAGCCUCUAAAGAUGAGUCAGAUUCCUGUCACUAAGUUUGAAGCCUUUAUUGGAGCUGUCAUUUGGUUUGGUGCUCUGUCCUUUAAGGCUUUUCAUUCUAUCCAACAUUACUGCAUUUUUAAUCAGCUAGGCGUAGGUGCGACUCAGCUGAUCAGGCUGCUUUUUUAAUGUUGCAGUUUUGAAUUUGCUUGAUAUUGAGUUUAGUUAGCGCUCUGCCUCUUUGCAAAAAUCAUGAAUCCUGUGCCAGUCCAAUAGGGUAGAUACAGUUUCUAAAUAUCUUCUGUCUACACCUAAAGCAUCAACUAGUAAACUUUGUGAAUUAAUUCCUUUGUGAUCACUACUGGAAACUGUUAAAAACACAAUUAUUUCCAGUGUAAAAAAGUUAUGUUGAAAAUAACCAAAUGCACAUCCAUUCAGAAACAGAUUUUGCUUAAUCAGGCAGGAUGUUAGAUCAGCAUGUGUGGUGCCUGUGGCAGAUUGUCCUCAUAGGAAUCAAACUCCCAUCUGAAAAACCCAAGUAGAUAGCCUCUGCGAUUCUAUGAAGGAGAACCUAUUUACCAGUAUGCUGAUGCAGCUAUUUACCACUUUUGCAUCAGAUAUCAGCAAAGACUGCUUUGUCCACAGGGGGCGCCAAAAUCAAUACAAACCAAAAGUUGUUCACAGGAGCUUUAAACUUGAACUAUCUGAUCAGCAUUUAAUUUGAGGAUGUAGCUGCCUAUUUCUAAGUAAAUCACUGUUUAGAUAGACACUGUCCUUCAUUCAGGUUUGAUAUAUCAUGUCCCACAAAAACCUCAUUGUUCAGGAGGCAGAGGCAAUAACAGCACUAAAAACCUAUCCUAUGACCUAUGCAUAAAAAAGUAGCAACAUAACUCUUUGCUCGAAACACUCCAGAAACUUAAGGAGUGAAUUUCUGUACUUUACAUCCCUGGAAUUUAAAUGACGUUUCUAAAGCUUAGUUUAUUCAUUUAGGAUUGAGCAAAAUGGUCAAUGAAUUAUACAUGCUCAAACUCUGGGCUUCUCAGUAUCUAUCUGGACUGAGCACAGCUGCACAUUUCCCUCAAAUGCAUGAAACCUUCAAGCUGCUUUGUGCUGCAGCUCUGCUCUAAAUCAGCCUGACUGCACGAUGAUAGACACGGCUGAGCAGCUUCACUCUGCCUGAAUUUAUAGUUUGUUCAAUUAUAAGUAGUCAAUGGCACAGUAAUAAAGGUGGUAAAAUGAAAACAGUGGUACUAAAACCCAGCAGAAUGGAAGCCAGCUCAUUAACAGCUCGUUUUAAGCUAAUUACAGAUCAGCAUCAGAAACUUUCACACAAACUUUGUUGUAAAUAUUCAAAGUGUGACAGUGGAGACCCUACAUUGUGAUGUGAUAACAGCGCCUGGAUCCUUAUGAGGCGUGAUUAUUAUUUUUGUCCAGGAGGGGGCAGUAAAACAUCAAUGUUUCCUGGCAUCAAAACUGAAUCAGUAAAGUGACUCCAUAUAAAAACAAAGAGGAAGUAAAAACUGUAAACUUAUAGAUUUUUUUUGAACAUUAUGAGGUAAGGCUGUCAUACGAAAAUGAACUGAAUAUGAAAAAGCUUUGUUAGAUUUGCAUGUGAGUGAUUUUUACUAUGUCAGAUACAACAUAAUGUCAAGCAUAUUGUUCAUUGGCUUUGUCCUUAAUUGUUUUUACCAUGUUGACCUCCUGUUAACCAUUAAACACCCACACAUCUGAAGACACACUAAUUUAGACUUAUGCUGCCACAGCAUGUUUACAGGUGUGACAGGUGUUUUUCUAUAUAAAAUCAGAUUUGUUCUUCGAGUUCAGAUGGGAACAAACAUUGCUGAGAGUUUUGCCCCUUGUGUUUGAUUUAUGCACCAUCAUCUGUGAUUUUGGCCUUUGUUGCUCCAAAGUUGAACUUAUACAAAAGGACAAUUUUCUCAUUUCAGCAGUUUUCAUGUGGUCAGCAGUGUUUUGAUUUAUGCUUCCUUUUUCCAGCCAAGGUCUUUAAAUUGAAUCCAGUAGAUUUAAGUGUUUGUUUGAGAGCAGCAGUUUGGGGGUAGCGGACUCUAUGAAUAUUUAGGGUGUCCUUGGAAUGGGGUUAUAAUAGCAGAGGGAUGAAAAAGGCUGAAAAAAACAUUGUGCUGUACUGUGCAAGGUGACAUUUAUUCUCUUUCCUCUCAUGUUCCUCUUUUACUAUGCUUUAAUAAAUCAACCACUUUUUCUGUAGAGUUUUCUUAAUAACCAGAUGACUUGUCCCAAAUAAGCUAUCUCAGAUUCUUUUUUCCUUUUUAAUCACUCACACACAGAAAUCACAACUUCUCGUGGGCUCAGUUUCAUUUCCACACUGUUUCACAGGCAGUGUUUAAACUUUCCUACUGUACUUAUAACACAACAGUUUCCAUGAUAAUGAGUACUGGUGUUGUUUUUUGCGACACUGAUCAAAAAAGAGAGUAACAAAAUGCAGCUCUUGAAGAUACUCUGAGAUUAUCUUCAACGCUGUUGGACCACAUGGCAGCUCUGCAGUCACUGACAUGCUUGAAAGCUACAACUCUUAGGAUCCUCUGAUGUCAGCUGAUUUGUUCUUUCUAACACUGUCACUUUCCUUCCUUUCAUUCUGAAAAUCUAAGUUCAAGCUCUGGCCUGUAGAGAGCAGCAUUGAGAUGUCCCAGCAGUGAUAUCUCACUCCUGCUGAUGCAGGAAGCGGAUGUUUUUGAGACAUAAGCUGUUGAAUAGUCGAAUCCACUCUGUGCAUCAAGUCUGAUGAUGUGCCACUUAUCACUCUUCCGUCUCCUCCAUCCACUCUUCACUUAUCAUUAUUAUUUUUUCAUUCCUCUUUCCUCUUCUUGUUGCAAUAGUAUGCCUUCUAUUUUCAUCUUCACUCUUUCUAGAUGGUUAUACUCUCUCUGUAAUACUUCUGAUGCUCUGCUGGUAUCUCUCUGAUAGGUUUUCAAACAGCUGACGAGGGAGCAGGAUGCGGAACAGUUGUGCUGUGAGUUUUUAUGGUGCUCCUCGGUUAUCCUUAAUCUGACAGCUCAUCACAGCAGAGUGAGCUGCAUGUGAGUGUAAUGUACCAUGUGUAAUCUGUGCCCACAGAGUUUGGAUUAUGUAUAUGUUUAAUACCCUGGGGCACACAUAUACUGUAUAAUUCACCAUAGCACAGGGAUCCGGCUUAGAAUUGUGAAAUUUCUAAUGAUAGGGUGCUUGUAUGUGUCGUUGGGUAACGACUUGUAGAAGAUGAAAGGUUUCACAAUGCAGAACUAAUGAAGGAGUUACACACUUUAAUCUGACGAUAAUUAUAAUGACAGUAAACACAAACAUCAAGGUCUGAAUGUUUGCCUUCUUACUGAUAACUGUGUGUCAUUGUCAGUUUUUCGAAAUAUGAAUUUUGUCAGGAAAGGCAGACUUUGUAUUUGUGUCAGGUUAAUAAAAGUUCAGUCUUCAGGCUUUAAUUGAGAACAAAUUGAAAUAUUCUUUUGUUCCCUGCAGCGUUCAGUUGUUUCACCCAAUUACCUCACAGUGCCAUACAGCCAAAACUAUAAGAAUAAAAAACACCUGAAUACUAUUUCCUGAUAGUGCUUUUCAAAUUAAAUUUUAUAGAUGAAUGGACAAUUCAUACAGACCCAGUCGUGUUACACACUUCCUAUCUGUUAUUUACCACAACAGGCCUGCCUGAACUGCCAACUUUUAAUGUCAUUGGGCGUCACUUCCUACCCCCUUCCCCUUUUAUACUUAUGUAUGAUUCACCUGUAAUAGAGGAUAGAGUGUGUUUAGCCUUUGUUUUUAUCUCAGUCUAUGCUCUUAUUUUAUUUUUAUGUAUUCUUUUGUUCCCUACAAUGUUUUAGAGUUGUAACCGUUGGCUGAUAUAAUAUUUUGAUUUGGACUUUGGACUCGAAAAUCAUUACUUUAAUAGUCUGUGAACCCAAUGAAUGUGCACAGCAGUUAAGAUGACAUACUGUAUGUGCUGCAUACUUGUGUUGUUAGAUUAGGAGAAUAUUCUGUACAUGGAGGUUCAGUCUGUCUGUUCCAGGUAUGUUUACUGUUAAUCUACUUUAUAUUCCAUUGAUAAUGUAGUGUCACAGGCAGCUCUUUUGUAUAAUUCCAAUGGUAAAGGGGCUGGGCUGGGCUGUAACAUGUACAUGGACAUUCUAUCUGUGUGCAAGAGUGAAGUAGCCGCAGAAAUAGUGCGAGUCCAGGGGUCUUAAUAGCAUUAAUUCCACUUUAAACACAUCAUAGAAACCCACUGUAGAAACAAACUUUGGCAGAAAAGCUUAAAAAGUUCAAACUGUGUAUAGACAGGCUUGAGAAUGACAAAGGAUGUUUGGGAGAAGGGUUUGCCUUUCUGUCAACUUUGAUGUUUAUGUGUACUAGGGUAUCCAUUUUACCUGGUGCAAAGGUAAGCAGCAAAUUACAAUCAGAGUCAGCACUUCUCUUUGGAUCUGAACAGCACUGCAAAGCUUUUCUUUGCGACUAAUCAGCAUUAGUAGUGUACGACAUGCUGUGUAAUGAGUAUGAACUUGAGCUCUGCUUAUAAAGAGUGAUACAAAAAUAAAAUUGGUUUACAAUUUAUGAAAAAUGUUGUAACUGACUCUUUCCAACUGCUUGUGAAAAGGUCCAUACAUACAGUAUACACAUACUAUGAAUCCAGCCAGCAGCCUGUUAGCUUAGCUCAGCAUGAACACUGGAAAUGACAGAAAAUGACUUUCCUGGCACAGCUUCUUGCAUCCAUUUGAAGGAAAACUCCUUCAGUGAAGUUCAGUGACUCUUCUGUUGGUGUUUCAGCUCUCUGUUCUCUGUUUAUCAAGUGCACACAGAAUUGUGAGAGCUGCACAAAGCCGUCAGUCAUGGUAAUAAAGACCCAAUUUUAGCAUCUAAUCAUCAAAAUAAACUUCAGAGAAAAAUUUGUAUUUGGAAAUGCAUAGCAUCAGUAUUUGCAUUUUCUACUUAGGCUCAUGUUUCAUCCAUCAGCAUGGAGGAGGUGGCCACUCAGAAGCAAGAGGGAGACUCAGAUGGUGUGAGACUUAGUUUUAUUAUGUAACUGUUUCAUUUAGAUCUGUAUGCUAAGCCAAGCUUUAGAUUGAGCUUGCAGACAUAAUAGUAGUAUCAACUUAUUCAUCAAACUCUUGUCAAGAGAGUGUAAAAAACUCCCCUAAAUUGUCACUGUUCCCUCAUUCUUCAAAGCACAAAACUGUAAUUACAGGCACAGCCUGCAAUCCCUCAAAAGUGACGGCCUCUGCGCAGAGUCUUCCAAUCAGUUUUCCUGCCAGAAAAUAUGCAUGUUGCAUACAAGGUUGUUGCUUAUUUAUGGUUUGAAAAUCAGCAUACCAUUGCGCCAUCAAAUUAUGCCUUAUACAAGAGAUUUACACAGUGCAAAAUACAGUCAACAAUACAACACUGCUGAAUGGCCAAUAUUUAGUCUAUUGCUGAGCUGGGAAAACCAUGAAAAUAUGUAAUACUACAGCAAAAUGACCUUUACCUUUAAUACUUAUCUAUUUUGGCAACACUGGAGUCUGAGUAAAUUCACCUUUGAGAAAAUCUCUUUAACAAACAUGAAGCGCAGCAAGGUUUUGUUAGGGAAUCACCCGUGAGUAAGCCCGUUCAAAUGGGAACAAAUCCUUUAACUGAACCUGCCUUGCAACAACACAGCAGGCAGCAGCUUAUCUGGAGCAUGAUCAGGUGGAUCACUGAUGUAGAAUCUGCUCUCAAAUGUUUAGAGCAGAUUCAUGUUUUUUUAUUUCUAUUUUUCUACAGUGAGACUAAUCAGCAUGACAUUAACAGGUAGCAGCAGGAAAGAAAUCAUUAGAGAAAGAUGAGUGAGUUUGACACCUUAAAUCAACCAGCUAAUCAAUCAUGGCUGAACUGUAUGUGAGACAGUUAUGUGCCCUGCCACACAAGUUUAGUGUGUGAAUUGAGGCUAUGCGUGUGCUCUGUGGUGCUAAAUUUGUUAUCAGAUACCCCUCCUGUCGUAAUGGUGGUUUGUGUCUGCCAGACACACAAUAGCUGCAGAGGAAAUGGAAAGAGAGUGAUAGGAGAGGAUGUUAUCAGCUGGUAGAAAAUAAAUAGCAAGUAAUCUGCUUUGUGUUGAGAGUUUGGGUUCUGAUUACAUUUUGAUAAAAACUAUACAAAGAAAACACAUUAAUGAUGCAUCCUAUACUAAAUGUUAUGGGUGCAUUUACAAAAAAAGCAUCUAAGACCUAAGCAAUAUAUGUUUGCUCUUUCUCUUUCACCAACUUUAAAUAGCUACCUUGUCCUGAUUGUUUUCUUAGUGUUCAGUGUGACCCUCCGCACAUACACACACAAUUUUACCUCUUCCAACAGAAAAGGAGCUUACUCAGAAUUAAGAGCAUGCCUCUGUCCAUCGCAUUGUAAUUAUGAAGUUAACUGGCAUUAAUUUGCAAAAACGGUAAAUAAACCCUUAAAUUUUGUUUGAUGAUAUGUGGUGCAGUGUGUUACUAUUUUGCAUUACUGGACUCAUAUUUAUCUAGGGUGACCAUAUUCUGACUUCUCAAAAAGAGGACUCGACUACGCAGGGGCGGAGUCACAAAGUCGCACCAAGUUAAAUAUGAGAGUUUUUCGGGUUACAUCGAGUAUGUUUUACGCGUUUCUUACUCAGUGCAUCCACAUGACACAAAAUCGAAACUCCAAGGACAUUUGAAUGAUUUUAUGAACUUCCCCGGACGAAAUAUUUUUUUGGAGGAUGGUAGGGGAAGGUCCCGCCUCCGUUGCCUCUGAUUGGCUAGGAAAGCUGGAAACGUCAUCACACGCCCAAGCCGAGCAUGGGCUGUUGGCUCUGUACAUCGGACAGAACAUUAUUGCACUUCUGAAUCUCCUAACCCUAGCCUCAACCCUAACCCUAUCCCAACCCUAAACCUAGCCCCAACUUUAACCCUAGCCUCAACCCUAGCCCUAACCCUAACCCUAACCCUAACCCUAGCAUAACCCUAACCCCUAACCAUUACCCUAUCCCUAACCCUAACCCAAUUGGAGCCCUGCACUUCUAGCCAAUCAGAGGCAAAGAGGGGCGGGACCUUCCCCUACCAUCCUACAAAAUAUAUAUCACUCCCCCGCGAUAUUUUUUUGUAGAACGGUAGGGGAAGGUCCCGCCUCCUUCUCCUCUGAAUGGCUGUGAAACGUCUUCACACGCUCAACCCGAGCGCGGGCUGUCGGCUCUGUACAUUGUACAGAAUAUAACAGAACGUUAGAGAAAAUGAUCGCAAUUCUGUAUCUCCUAACCCCAACCUUAAACCUAAACCUAACGUUUCAUAGCCAUGCUGAGUAACCAAUCGGAGCCCAUCACUUCUAGACAAUCAGAGGCAAAGCAGGGCGGGACCUUCUCCUACUAUCCUACAAAAAAAAAAAAAAAAAAAAAAAACGCAGCCCGGACAGCCCCCCCAAAUGAGGACAUAUCCGUGUGAAAGAGGACGUAUUAAAUAUUUAAAUAGAAAUAUAGAAAUAGAAAUAUCUGCGCAGGGUAUUUUGCACAAAUCUAAUGCAACAAACCGUGGUUGUGGGAAAGCCUCCCUCCAUCGGUGGCACUGUUCCAAUUAGUUUUCUAAUUAUGACCUAAGGUAACCCCGCCGUUUCUAGGUAGCCUGAUGCUAACAGACUCUUCUUUUUCUCGGGGUUCAUACACAGCGGGCUCCAUACGGGAAAAUAUGUCAACAGAAAGCAAAGUCCAUUACUUGACAAUUUUGGACUUCCUUCUAAAAUGGCGGACCGGAACAACGACAGAGACGAAGUAGAGACAACAGGAGCUAACGCGGAUAGUAGCUAACAAUCUGGGGGUCACCGUCAGGUUGAGGAUUCGGGCUCCGCUCAGGACGACAGAGACCCUGGAUUGGGCCGAGUCGACAACGAAGCAGGAAGAUGGCAGCGAAGAAAACACCUUAAGCUGGACAUUAGGAGUGGAAAGUUAAGUUUUCUAGUUUGUAGACAAGCUAAAAUCUUUGAAAUUGAGCUGGUACACCUGACGGGAAAUGGAUUAAUGACGUCGGACUGGCACAGGUAGCCAAGCCCAGCAACAGGUAUGUGUGGUGGUUUGGGAUCCUGGGAGGACUUUGUGCUGCUGCAUACAUCAUUGCUGGGUUGUGAGAUGAAUUUGAGUUGCCCUGUUGUGAACAAAAGUCGUGGUGAUGUGUGUGGAAAGUGUGUAUACUAUAGCAGGGCUCUCAAGUUUUGAACUAAGCUUAGAGUGAGAUUCCCUGGGGGGGGGGGGGGGGGAAGAAUGAUUGAAGAUAAUUAUUAGUAUAAUAAUCUAAUAAAUACAAUGGAGUAUGAGGGCCACAUUAAGAAAGAAAAAAACAUUUUUAAAUCUUUGAGAUUAAAGUUAUUAUUUAGGAGAAUAAAGUCAUUAAUGACUUUAAGAAUAAAGUAGUAAAGUUACCUGUUGUGGAGGAGAGUUGUUAAAAUCAGCACUGAGGAGCAUUUAGAUGAAUUGUACUUUAGUAUAGGUUUCACAGACAUGGAGAUACUUAAUCCUUUUGUAUAUCAGCAUUACACUGUCACGAGUAUCAGAACUUUAAAAAGAAUAUAUGAGAAAUGCUGCUUUUGUGGAGGGGAAAUGGCUGUACAGAGGCUAAAUUCAUCAAUGCAGCUGUUAAUAGCAAUAGCAUAGGGCUUUAGUUUAUCAUAUGAGUUUAUCUGCCAUGAGGUGUUGAGGUCUCUGCAUGUGUAGGUUACUGACUUACUGUAAUCAUCGGGUCUAUCUCGUCCUUAUAAAAACCUGCUCUAUUUCAGCGAGUGUCUGUCUUCUUCUGUAGUCAAACCGCAAGAUAUCAAAAUCUACCCAGAUACAGCAAUGCUGCUUUUUGAUUGGCUGUUCAGUAGAUAUACUUUAUUUGAUUGGCUUGCGCGUGGCACGCAGCUUCUGAACUCUCGGAGAAACUCCGUUGAUUUCUACCUGUUCCAUAGUUAAAGAGGUGCAACUUGGUGGACAUCACCAUGUUCAUUUAAAUGCGUGAGAAAUACAAUGUGUGGCGUGUGAGCGUGUGAAUAGGUGGGAAUGCGUGUGUCUCACGCUGAAUGCGUGAGACUUGAGAGCCCUGCUAUAGUUUUUAUCAUGUGUUGAUUGAGAGCCUGUAACACUCCCGUUUUUCCUGGGACUCUACCGUAUUCCAGACCUAUCUCCCGCCCACCUCCCGUAUUGUCAUUUCUCCCGGGAAUCUCCUGUAGUUGCAUGGUCCACAGUCACGAUUUUAUAACCCAAAUGUUGGCAUGUAUGGUUGAUUGAGACCCUGUAACACUCGAGCAUAAGCACCAGAUAGAUGUGCCUUAGAGGAUCUUUCUUGCUGCAUACAACCUUUGAUUUGGGAGGACGAAAGCCAAACUUAGAGCAGGUUUUUACCUUAAUUUAAUGAAAUUAACUGAUUAACUAUUAUCAAAGUUAUUGUCUUUGUUAACAGCUACAUGGAUAGCAGAAUUACAUUUUUGAGAAGAUGUGCCCACCUCUGCUGUGACCUCUAACCUCUGAAAAUUUUAAUACAGUCUCAAACCUGUCCCAUACAUCAUAUCCCAUUAUGAUCAAAUGAAAGCCCCCAAGAGCCCUGUAGUUUAUUUUGAAUCUCAGCUGAUAUAAGUUAGCAUUUCAUUGUACAUUAUAUGUUUGCAAGGUCAGCUCAUUGAAAUCCUUAAGUCCCCCUUUCCCCUAUCAGACAUAUUUCCUGGUUUCCACCGGUGACAGGCCUCCAUUGACCUAUUGAUUAAUUGAUUUGAAAAUAAGGUCAUUAUAGCAGCCUGACCCAGGGGCAUUGAGGGAGUUUUACAUCAUCCGGUAAAAUGACAGCUUAAGAUGAAACAAACCAAUAAUGUGUGAACACACAACGAACAUAACCAAUCAGCUUUUGUGGCCAAAAUUAAAGUUAAACAUAAACACAGUAAAAUGGCCACAUAAUGUUUAAAAGAAGUUUACUUCAAGUCACUCUCAUAAAGAUAAAGGAUUGAUAUAUCAGUGACUUUAAAACAUAGGCUGUGUAAAAUAAUGGACAGAACAACAGCUACUCUGGUUGAGGUGGUGGUGCAAAAGACCAGUUCACCAAUUGAGGGUCAUGAGUCAGUUCAUGAUAACCAGCUGCUUGAGGAGAGGCCAAACACAUUGUAAUGUAUAUUAAUAUGAGCCAGUAGCAAAGCUGUCUGUUUCAUUUUUUCAUCUGUGAACACCUGCAUAGUGUAUUGGGGACCUUUUUUUACUACACUUCAGGCGUCAUGUUGCUGCCAUGAUGAUCAGCUCUGUUUAUCAAUCAAGCACUGAAGCCUGGGCCUCAUGUUCUAAUGUUAUAACAGAUGUGUUCAGUGCUUUCUCUAGUUUUCUGAUCACUCAUCAUGCUUUACAGUGUAUGUCACAUUCACCCUUUUACCCACAUUUGUCUACUGGCAGAUGUAAAGCACCAUCAGCAUCGACUCGUCUCAUUCGGACACAGCCAUAGGGGGCAGUUUGGGGGUUACGUUUUUAGCUAAGGACACUUGGGCAGAAAGACCUGGGAUCAAAUCUUUAACCCUCCAAUUAAAGGCAUCACCUGUUGUACACACUGAUAUUUUUAGUCUGAAUCAAUCACUUACAAACCAUCAGGGAUGGUGAAGCCAAAACCUGCAGAAUUACCUGUGGAGACUGUUAGUAUAGCUCUUUAGCCCUCCUCCAUUUUUACAGAUAAAACUUGGAUCAAACCUUUUAACUUAAAAUACAUGUCAAAGUUUUCUCACACAAGCUGUCUGUCAGAGCAGUUAGUUCUCGUCACACUGAUUAUCUUGCAGGUGUUCAUUUUUCUGAGUUUAGUUUUAAUUAGUUAUUUCAUGUUUCAAAGUGGGAAUGGGACAUCAUGAUUGGCAAAUGCAGCUGUUGCUUAUGAGAUCAGAGUGGAGGAAUGGUGAGAUAACGUGUAAAAAACACUGAAAAAAAAAGGUGACAAACUCUCAGUAGCCAUGAGAGUUUGCCUCAAAUAAAUACAAGAACCCCUUUCCCCUUGUGGGCUAUACUAAAGGACUUAUUGGUAUUUUAUCAUUAAGUUAACUCUAUGUUUUGGUCUGAUGACAAUUUAACGUUUCCACCAGUCACACUGCAUCUGUGUGUGCCGCGGCUCUACUAGUGUAAUAUGCCAUGCCCCUGGAGGUGAUAUUAUGCCUGCAUGUUUCACAAUAUGAGGAGAUGGAAGUGCUUUGUCUAUAUGGAUUUUCAGUCAGUGCUUUAAGUAUAAAGUGCAAUGACAACAAUAAUAUUUAAAGAGAGUAAAAGUAACACAACCACAUUCAUUUCACAUAGUUUUUAGCCAAAUCCCCACAGCAACUGAAGACAUUAAUCUUGUUUCUAAGAACCACAUUUAAAACCUGACUGGCAAUCAGAACCUUUGUAUCCUCACAUAAAAUUAACAUCAGGGAAAUUAAGAAUAAAGCAUUAAAUAAGUUAGAUUCGGGGGGGAUGGUUUCCCUUCUUUAAAAAAUAGUGCGAAUACCAAAUGGUGGUCAAAUUUGCUCUUCUCUGGAAAAGUUUUAUCAACUCUGGCACCGUCGUUUUGAGUUGAGUUUAGAGAAAAAUUUCUAUUAGAAACACUUCUGACUUUUCUAUUCUUAAUCACACAGUGACACAAUUUCAAUCACUUAACAGAGUCAAGUUUCUUCUCUUUUGCUUUGACAUUCACUGCCAACGUUGAGUGGAAACACCUCUGUAUUUACAGCCUAUCUCUAAAGGUGGCGUAAAAACAAGUUCAAAGCUGAUUUUAAACACUGUGGCCAGAACUCUUUUCUCAAAGGGUUCAAGAGAAAAGUUGCAUCUUGUCCGUUAAUGUAAAAGAGUUUCUGUGAUCCACAGGGGAAAUGAGCAGACAUCUCAUGGGAAUCACCCUGGGUAUGUGACUGUCCACCCACUGAUUAGGCAGUUGUCACCAGAGGCCUGGUUGCCAAGGUAACCGCCCUCUGUCACCUCCUGUUCUCAUUGGCUUCCUGCCGCUCUCCACUCUCUGCUGCGCUCUGACUCUCCCACACUUUCCUCAUUUCUUUCUUUUCAAAGGGCAAGGGCACGCAAACUUCUCGAUUCUGCAUCCGUCCGUCUGUCUGUGCGUGUGUCUCUAUGGACACGUCUGUUUGCGUAUGUCUGUGGGUGUGUAUAACUGUAUGCUGGUGCGUGUGAGUCAGUAACAACGUGUUUGUGUUAUCAGUCACGCAGGGUGGCUACUGUCUCCCCUGGUGAUGGACUGUGAUGCCAAUCUGUUGCAGCAGC